CUUAUAGUUUAACGGCCGCGGUAUUUUGACCGUGCAAAGGUAGCGCAAUCACUUGUCUUUUAAAUGAAGACCUGUAUGAAUGGCAUCACGAGGGCUUAACUGUCUCCUUCCCCCAGUCAAUGAAAUUGAUCUCCCCGUGCAGAAGCGGGGAUAGACCCAUAAGACGAGAAGACCCUAUGGAGCUUCAGAUACAAGUUCAGCCCAUGUCUAAUGACCUUAAUUAAAAGAAUAAACCAAUUGAAUCCUGUCCUAGUAUCUUUGGUUGGGGCGACCAUGGAGUAUAACAAAACCCCCAUGAGGUAUGAACAUAAAAUGUUUUCAACUAAGAGUGACAACUCUAAGCAACAGAACCUCUGACCUUAUAGAUCCGGCAUUGC
rnacentral:rRNA from 1 species